rnacentral:rRNA from 1 species
GACGAACGCUGGAGGCGUGCUUAACACAUGCAAGUCGAACGAUGAAAUGGAGCUUGCUCCAUGGAUUAGUGGCGAACGGGCGAGUAACACGUGAAUAACCUGCCCUUAAUUUUGGAAUAACCCAGGGAAACCUGGGCUAAUACCGGAUAAGUAAACCUGUGGCAUCACAUGGUUUUGGAAAGUUUUUCGAUUAAGGAUGGAUUCGCGGCCUAUCAGCUUGUUGGUGAGGUAAUGGCUCACCAAGGCGACGACGGGUAGCCGGCCUGAGAGGGUGAACGGCCACACUGGGACUGAGACACGGCCCAGACUCCUACGGGAGGCAGCAGUGGGGAAUGUUGCGCAAUGGACGAAAGUCUGACGCAGCGACGCCUCGUGAGGGACGAAGGUCUUCGGAUUGUAAACCUCUUUCAGCAGGGACGAAGCGAAAGUGACGGUACCUGCAGAAGAAGCACCGGCUAACUAUGUGCCAGCCGCCGCGGUAA